rnacentral:misc_RNA from 1 species
AACACCUCAAAGCUUUUGAUUUUUUUUUGAAAGCUUUGGACUUGAGCAAUCCCAACACCAGUCUUUUUUAGAUCGGAGGCGGGUUGCUUGAAAUGCAGGUGCAGCUGGACAUUCUCCUGAGCUAAAAGCAUAUUCAUUUAGUCCCGUCAAACGGAUUAUUACUUUUGCUGCAGCUAACAUAAAGGGAGUUUGACCGUAUUGGCUGACUGAUGCAGGAUUUCACAGGGGUCGGCAACGACGCUUGUUAA